rnacentral:rRNA from 1 species
AACGAACGCUGGCGGCAUGCCUAACACAUGCAAGUCGAACGAAGGCUUCGGCCUUAGUGGCGCACGGGUGCGUAACGCGUGGGAAUCUGCCCUUUGGUUCGGAAUAACAGCUGGAAACGGCUGCUAAUACCGGAUGAUGACGAAAGUCCAAAGAUUUAUCGCCAGAGGAUGAGCCCGCGUUGGAUUAGGUAGUUGGUGGGGUAAAGUCCUACCAAGCCGACGAUCCAUAGCUGGUCUGAGAGGAUGAUCAGCCACACUGGGACUGAGACACGGCCCAGACUCCUACGGGAGGCAGCAGUGGGGAAUAUUGGACAAUGGGCGCAAGCCUGAUCCAGCAAUGCCGCGUGAGUGAUGAAGGCCCUAGGGUUGUAAAGCUCUUUUACCCGGGAAGAUAAUGACUGUACCGGGAGAAUAAGCCCCGGCUAACUCCGUG